GGAUAACUCCGGGAAACCGGGGCUAAUACCGGAUGGUUGUUUGAACCGCAUGGUUCAAACAUAAAAGGUGGCUUCGGCUACCACUUACAGAUGGACCCGCGGCGCAUUAGCUAGUUGGUGAGGUAACGGCUCACCAAGGCGACGAUGCGUAGCCGACCUGAGAGGGUGAUCGGCCACACUGGGACUGAGACACGGCCCAGACUCCUACGGGAGGCAGCAGUAGGGAAUCUUCCGCAAUGGACGAAAGUCUGACGGAGCAACGCCGCGUGAGUGAUGAAGGUUUUCGGAUCGUAAAGCUCUGUUGUUAGGGAAGAACAAGUGCCGUUCGAAUAGGGCGGUACCUUGACGGUACCUAACCAGAAAGCCACGGCUAACUACGUGCCAGCAGCCGCGGUAAUACGUAGGUGGCAAGCGUUGUCCGGAAUUAUUGGGCGUAAAGGGCUCGCAGGCGGUUUCUUAAGUCUGAUGUGAAAGCCCCCGGCUCAACCGGGGAGGGUCAUUGGAAACUGGGGAACUUGAGUGCAGAAGAGGAGAGUGGAAUUCCACGUGUAGCGGUGAAAUGCGUAGAGAUGUGGAGGAACACCAGUGGCGAAGGCGACUCUCUGGUCUGUAACUGACGCUGAGGAGCGAAAGCGUGGGGAGCGAACAGGAUUAGAUACCCUGGUAGUCCACGCCGUAAACGAUGAGUGCUAAGUGUUAGGGGGUUUCCGCCCCUUAGUGCUGCAGCUAACGCAUUAAGCACUCCGCCUGGGGAGUACGGUCGCAAGACUGAAACUCAAAGGAAUUGACGGGGGCCCGCACAAGCGGUGGAGCAUGUGGUUUAAUUCGAAGCAACGCGAAGAACCUUACCAGGUCUUGACAUCCUCUGACAAUCCUAGAGAUAGGACGUCCCCUUCGGGGGCAGAGUGACAGGUGGUGCAUGGUUGUCGUCAGCUCGUGUCGUGAGAUGUUGGGUUAAGUCCCGCAACGAGCGCAACCCUUGAUCUUAGUUGCCAGCAUUCAGUUGGGCACUCUAAGGUGACUGCCGGUGACAAACCGGAGGAAGGUGGGGAUGACGUCAAAUCAUCAUGCCCCUUAUGACCUGGGCUACACACGUGCUACAAUGGACAGAACAAAGGGCAGCGAAACCGCGAGGUUAAGCCAAUCCCACAAAUCUGUUCUCAGUUCG
rnacentral:rRNA from 1 species